rnacentral:rRNA from 1 species
UACGGAGGUGGCUAGCGUUGCUCGGAAUUACUGGGCGUAAAGCGCGCGUAGGCGGGUUGUUAAGUCAGGGGUGAAAUGCCGGGGCUCAACCUCGGAAUUGCCCUUGAUACUGGCAAUCUGGAGUUCGGGAGAGGUGAGUGGAAUUCCGAGUGUAGAGGUGAAAUUCGUAGAUAUUCGGAGGAACACCAGUGGCGAAGGCGACUCGCUGGCAUCUUGCUGACGCUGAGACGCGAAAGCGUGGGGAGCAAACAGG